UAACGGCUCACCAAGGCGACGAUCAGUAGCUGGUCUGAGAGGAUGAUCAGCCACAUUGGGACUGAAUAUACGGCCCAAACUCCUACGGGCAGCAGAGGGUAAUUUUCCGCAAUGGGCGAAAGCCUGACGAGCAAUGCGUGGUAGAAGGCCCACGGUCGUAAACUCCUUUUUUUAUAGAAGAAGCAAUGACGGUAUCUGAGGAAUAAGCAUCGGCUAACUCUGUGCCAGCUGCUUUGGUAAGACAGAGGAUGCAAGCGUUAUCCGGAAUGAUUGGGCGUAAAGCGUCUGUAGGUGGCUUUUUAAGUCCGCCGUUAAAUCCCAGGGCUUAACCCUGGACAGGCGGUGGAAACUACCAAGCUGGAGUACGGUAGGGGCAGAGGGAAUUUCCGGUGGAGCGGUGAAAUG
rnacentral:rRNA from 1 species